rnacentral:lncRNA from 13 species
UUUGGAAAUGUUUGUCAGAGUGGGAUGCUUGAAAUUCUAAUCUGAGCACGGUUGGAAUAGUUUGAGAAAAAACGAAGGCCAUGACCUUGGCAGUUGGGUGGCCGGAGUAGAAUUGGCUGGUGGUAGAAGAUGGCGGGUGCGGAUGGAUAACGUGGAGACCUGGAAUUCUGGUGACGACAGAGCUGCGAGGCAUAAUGGGCUCUAUUUGAAAGUUGUCUGGGCAUAGGUGAAUAAUCAGGCCGUAGUCCUGAGUACUCAUUAAGAAGGUGUGAGGCCACUGAGUGACUGUUUUCUUCUCGGGGAAGGAUCUCAAGACAAACAGCGCAAGGGACAGCCUGACUGUAAGAGGGAGGUCUGAUCUCAUCAGCAGCCCUGCAGGUCCCAGACCACUUCUGGGAGCUCCACUGCCUAACAGAGUCCCUGCCUUUAGAUGGUGAAGCAGUAGAAUAUUAUCUGCAUUCUAGAAUAACUUCCUGAGACCACUUCCAGAGAGCUGCUGUGGUUUGCUGGGUGUCCACUCCAGACGCUAUUUGCCUAGAUCCCUUCCGCACCUGGAGGUGUCACCAGUGGAGGCUGCGAAACAGCAAAGAUGGUUGCCUGCUCCUUCUUCUGGAGCUCCAUCCCAGAGGGUUACCAACCUUAUGCCAGCAGGAAAGCUCUUGUGUAAGAGACAGAGUUAUGCCAUGUUGCUUAAACUGGUCUUGAAUUCCAGCCCAUCUUGGCCUCCCAAAAGUUUGGGAUUACAGGUGUGAGCCGCCACACAUGGCCUGCCCCAUUUAUUAUUAUGAAAUAAUUUCUUUAUCAAAGAAUAAAAAUUUCUUUAUUCUUUGCUUCGAAUUCUGU